rnacentral:rRNA from 1 species
AGAGUUUGAUCCUGGCUCAGAAUUAACGCUGGCGGCGUGGCUAACACAUGCAAGUCGAACGGACUGUCUGGAUGAUGAACCCGAGGGACAGUUAGUGGCGAAAGGGUUAGUAAUGGAUAGGUAACGUACCCCGAGCUCCGGAAUACCCAUUCGAAAGGGUGGGUAAUACCGGAUAAUACCAUGUGCCCCAAGGUAUAUGGUCAAUUAUUUAUGCUUGCGGAAGCGGUCUGUCUCCCUUCACUUUGUUGGUGAGGUAACGGCUCACCAAGGCACCGACGGGUACCGGGACUGAAAGGUUGACCCGUCAACAUCGGGACUGAAACACUGCCCGGACCUCCACGGAGGGCUGCAUUAACGAAUAUUGCGCAAUGGGCGAAAGCCUGACGCAGCGACGCCGCGUGUAGGAUGAAGUCCCUCGGGAUGUAAACUACUGUCAGGGGUUAGAAAGUCCGGUUCGCCGGAUUGAUCGGCCCCAGAGGAAGUCACGGCUAACUUCGUGCCGGCAGCCGCGGUAAUACGAAGGUGGCUAGCGUUGUUCGGUGUCACUGGGCUUAAAGGCGUGUGUAGGUGGAAGAGAAAGUCGUUUUAUGAAAUCCCCCGGCUUAACCGCGGGAACUGUCUUACAAACUGCUUUUCUUGAGGAUAGUCAGAGGGUGCGUGGAACUCUUGGUGGAGCGGUGAAAUGCGUAGAUAUCAAGAGGAACGCCGGUGGUGAAGACGACUCUCUGGGCUUGUCCUGACGCUGAGACACGAAAGCGUGGGGAGCGAACGGGAUUAGAUACCCCGGUAGUCCUACGCUCGUAAACGAUGG